UUCUGAAUAUUUUAAGGUUUAGAAAUUUACAUUGUAAAUGUAUUAGUGAGUGUUUUUCUUCAGAAU
rnacentral:tRNA from 1 species